rnacentral:lncRNA from 1 species
AAUGACUGUGUUUCGGAUGGCACGUUAAACUGUAGGUCCCGGCUAUCAUUGAACAUCCUUGGCAGUCGUUACGGGUAGUCAGAAGCCAGUAAGUCUGACACCAGUCUAACCAAGGGGUAUCGGGUUGCCCGGGUAACUGGGUUGAGGAGGUCAGAUAGGCAGUCGCUCCUUGUGGCACACUGGUACUCGGCUGCAUCCGCUUAGACUGGAAGCCGACACCAACAUAGUUGGGAAAAAGGCUCGGAGGAU